rnacentral:rRNA from 1 species
UACGUAGGGGGCACGCGUUGUCCGGAAUUAUUGGGCGUAAAGAGCUCGUAGGCGGUGUGUCACGUCGGCCGUGAAAACCUGCAGCUUAACUGUGGGCGUGCGGUCGAUACGGGCAUCACUGGAGUUCGGCAGGGGAGACUGGAAUUCCUGGUGUAGCGGUGAAAUGCGCAGAUAUCAGGAGGAACACCGGUGGCGAAGGCGGGUCUCUGGGCCGAUACUGACGCUGAGGAGCGAAAGCGUGGGGAGCAAACAGG